GCCGACUGACUCCACGCUGGGACGUGGUAGGGGCUGUAACCCCCGAGUUGAGGCUGUGAGGUUCGAUUCCUUCAGGCGGCACCA
rnacentral:tRNA from 1 species